AUCGCUUCUCGGCUUUUUGGCUAAGAUCUAGUAUCUGUUCUUAUCAGUUUAAUAUUGCCAGAGGGUGUUUCUAUAUCCUUUAUUACCCCUCCUGUCCCCUUGAUCUAGCCCUUGAGAUCCAUUCACAGGAUUACUUAUGGUUCUGCUGGUAUAUAUCAGCCAGGACCUACAGCUC
rnacentral:snRNA from 1 species